AAAAUGUCCUUAUAGUACAACAACAAUAUAUUUUAGUUCCAUCUUGUUACAGCUCUAUUUAAUCAUUUUUGGCUGCUAAUGUUUCUCUUUGUUCAUGUUUAAUUAUUAUUUUUCUGUCACCUCUUCUCUCCAUCAGGUUACUCCGAUGUGGAACAGGAAGUGACGACAGACAUUAAGGCUUCAGUUUCCUUCUCACCUGAACACACAAAUGAAUUUUCAUACAGGUUCAGGUCUCUUCGUCCAGUUGUGUUACAGUGUACUUUGACUGGCCUGAUAUUUUUCGUGGCUCAGGAAGCGGAGCUGUUGAACAGGACGGUCCCUUUGAAGGAGAGACUCCUCCAAAUAGCUGGUAAGCAGGUAGCAGGGCCGCUGUUCAAUAUGAAGAGUUCUGAUGAAGCUGCCGUCUGCCAGCUCCACCUGCCACACAGUGAGACAGAGGAUGGUAAAGACAUCUGCAGUGUUAAAAAAUACACUUAUAUAAUGAAUAGCGCCUUAUACUAUCCACUACCGUUCAAAGGUUAUAAAGCAGCUU